rnacentral:rRNA from 1 species
CCAGUAGUCAUAUGCUUGUUUCAAAGAUUAAGCCAUGCAUGCAUAAGUACUAACUCAAUGAAAAGUGAAACCGCAAAUGGCUCAUUAAAUCAGUCACUAUUUACUAGGCCGUAAUCCAUUGGAUAUCUUUGGAAAAACUAGAGCUAAUACAUGCCAAGAGUAUCGGACCUUUCGGGGGACGAUUGCACUUAUUAGACACAUAAACCAGAAACUGGUGGUGUGACUCUAGUAGAAAGCAGAUCGCGUAGGUCUUGCACCUGCGGCGGGUCUUGCAAACGUCUGCCUUAUCAACUAGAUGGUAGGGUAAUGGCCUACCAUGGUUGUAACGGGUGACGGGGAAUCAGGGUUCGAUUCCGGAGAGGCAGCCUGAGAGACGGCUACCACAUCCAAGGAAGGCAGCAGGCACGAAAAUUACCCAAUCCCAGAAAAGGGAGGUAGUGACGAAAAAUAACAAUGCGGGACUCUUACGAGGCCCCGUAAUUGGAAUGAGAGAAGUGUAAAAGCAUUAUUUGAAAGUCUACUGAAGGGCAAGUCUGGUGCCAGCAGCCGCGGUAAUUCCAGCUCCAAUAGCGUAUAUUAA